rnacentral:rRNA from 1 species
UACGUAGGGACCGAGCGUUGUCCGGAAUCAUUGGGCGUAAAGAGCGUGUAGGCGGCCUGGUAGGUCUGCUGUGAAAACUCGAGGCUCAACCUCGAGAUGUCGGCGGAAACCAUCUGGCUAGAGUCCGGAAGAGGCAAGUGGAAUUCCCGGUGUAGCGGUGAAAUGCGCAGAUAUCGGGAGGAACACCAAUUGCGAAGGCAGCUUGCUGGGACGGUACUGACGC